UAAUACGUAGGGGGCAAGCGUUGUCCGGAAUUAUUGGGCGUAAAGCGCGCGCAGGCGGUUCUUUAAGUCUGGUGUCUAAGGCACGGGCUCAACCCGUGUUUGCAUUGGAAACUGGAGAACUUGAGUGCAGAAGAGGAGAGCGGAAUUCCACGUGUAGCGGUGAAAUGCGUAGAGAUGUGGAGGAACACCAGUGGCGAAGGCGGCUCUCUGGACUGUAACUGACGCUGAGGCGCGAAAGCGUGGGGAGCAAACAGGAUUAGAUACCCUGGUAGUCCACGCUGUAAACGAUGAGUGCUAGGUGUUGGGGGUAUCAUGCCCUCGGUGCCGAAGUUAACACAUUAAGCACUCCGCCUGGGGAGUACGGUCGCAAGACUG
rnacentral:rRNA from 1 species